GACGAACGCUGGCGGCGUGCUUAACACAUGCAAGUCGAACGGAGUGGCGAACGGGUGAGUAACACGUGGGUGAUCUGCCCUGCACUUCGGGAUAAGCCUGGGAAACUGGGUCUAAUACCGGAUAGUGUAGGAUGAGCUGGCGGCCUAUCAGCUUGUUGGUGGGGUAAUGGCCUACCAAGGCGGCGACGGGUAGCCGGCCUGAGAGGGUGGACGGCCACCCUGGGACCUAGAGAAGGCAGCGACUCCGACGGUAGGCAGCAGUGGGGAAGAUUGCACAAUGGGCGCCAGGUUGAUGCAGCGACGCUGCGUGGGGUAUGAUGGUUUUAGGGGUGUAAACUCCGUUCGCGAGGGACGCGGUACCUAGAUAAGAAGCACCGGCUAACUACGUGCCAGCCGCCGCGGUAAUAC
rnacentral:rRNA from 1 species